rnacentral:rRNA from 1 species
UACGGAGGAUCCAAGCGUUAUCCGGAUUUAUUGGGUUUAAAGGGUGCGUAGGUGGCCUGUUAAGUCAGGGGUGAAAGACGGUAGCUUAACUAUCGCAGUGCCCUUGAUACUGAUGGGCUUGAAUGAACUAGAGGUAGGCGGAAUGUGACAAGUAGCGGUGAAAUGCAUAGAUAUGUCACAGGACACCAAUUGCGAAGGCAGCUUACUAUGGUUUUAUUGACACUGAGGCACGAAAGCGUGGGGAUCAAACAGG